GUGCCAGCCGCCGCGGUAAUACGUAGGUGGCAAGCGUUGUCCGGAUUUAUUGGGUUUAAAGGGUGCGUAGGCGGUGAUUUAAGUCAGUGGUGAAAUACGGCAGCUUAACUGUCGAGGUGCCAUUGAUACUGGGUCACUUGAGUACUGAUGAGGUAGGCGGAAUGGACGGUGUAGCGGUGAAAUGCUUAGAGAUCGUCCAGAACACCGAUAGCGAAGGCAGCUUACUAAGGAGUAACUGACGCUGAGGCACGAAAGUGUGGGGAUCAAACAGGAUUAGAUACCCGUGUAGUCC
rnacentral:rRNA from 1 species